rnacentral:rRNA from 1 species
AAUCAACGCUGGCGGCGUGCCUAACACAUGCAAGUCGAACGAGAAAGUGGAGCAAUCCAUGAGUAAAGUGGCGACCGGGUGAGUAACACGUGACCAAUCUACCCUUGAGUGGGGGAUAACCUCGGGAAACCGGGGCUAAUACCGCAUAGCAUCUUCGGAUCGGAAGAACUGGAGAUCAAAGGAGCAAUUCGCUUAAGGAGGAGGUCGCGGCUGAUUAGCUAGUUGGCGGGGUAAUGGCCCACCAAGGCUUAGAUCGGUAGCCGGCCUGAGAGGGCGCACGGCCACACUGGAACUGAAACACGGUCCAGACUCCUACGGGAGGCAGCAGUGGGGAACUUUGCGCAAUGGGGGAAACCCUGACGCAGCAACGCCGCGUGGAGGAUGAAGUCCCUUGGGACGUAAACUCC